GUUCCACAAUAGCUCAAUGGGAGAGCAAUAAAUUUACACGUAUAAGUUGACUGUUAGAGGUUCGAAUCCUCUGGGAUA
rnacentral:tRNA from 1 species